rnacentral:rRNA from 1 species
AGUGAACGCUGGCGGUAGGCCUAACACAUGCAAGUCGAACGGCAGCACAGUAAGAGCUUGCUCUUACGGGUGGCGAGUGGCGGACGGGUGAGGAAUACAUCGGAAUCUACUUUUUCGUGGGGGAUAAAGUAGGGAAACUUACGCUAAUACCGCAUACGACCUAAGGGUGAAAGCAGGGGAUCUUCGGACCUUGCGCGAUUGAAUGAGCCGAUGUCGGAUUAGCUAGUUGGAGGGGUAAAGGCCCACCAAGGCGACGAUCCGUAGCUGGUCUGAGAGGAUGAUCAGCCACACUGGAACUGAGACACGGUCCAGACUCCUACGGGAGGCAGCAGUGGGGAAUAUUGGACAAUGGGCGCAAGCCUGAUCCAGCCAUACCGCGUGGGUGAAGAAGGCCUUCGGGUUGUAAAGCCCUUUUGUUGGGAAAGAAAAGCAGCAGGUUAAUACCCCGCUGUUCUGACGGUACCCAAAGAAUAAGCACCGGCUAACUUCGUG